GGAUUUCAAGGAAUCAAGCAAGUAAAUGUGGUGAGCCAUUUGAUAAGGGUAAAGAUAUUGUGCUCGAGGACCAAGAAUAGGAGUGUUCCAUACUCCUGCUACUGUGACUUACUGCAGUGGGCGAGUUUCCAUGGACCAGCCUAU